CUAAUCUCUCUUUAAAGAGUUUGGUCUAAUAAAGUUUGGAUCAGGAACGUAGCUUACGCCCUUGAAUUCUUUUUCCUUGUUAUGAGUGUGUUCGGCAAUCAAGAAACCCAAGUCAACUAGCUUAGGCCAGUUGACGUAUUGAACACCCUUCUUCAGCACAAAGUUAGCACAAGCAAUCAUGACUCCAAUGGAACCAAAGAAGAAGGCGAGGUUUUUAGGACUGGUGAAAUGAUCCUUAGGGAACACAAUCGUUGCCAUCAUCACGGUAAUUGCUGCGUAAACAACCGUUGGUAUAGCCUGGAUGAUCAUUGGUCUUCUGUCAGGGAAAGGAGAGUGUACCACAUUUGCAUAUGGCUUGAAGUUGCCCAAGAAUAAGUCGUAUGCGUCCUGUCUAGGUCCAUCGGACAAAUUAUUCUGGUAAUAACGAGACAGAGAAUUGAUACCGUCCAUCAAUGCACCUACGUAAGUGCGCUUACCGGUUCUGGUAAAGUCAGUCUUCAAAGCACCUGUACCCGAAUAUGCGACACUCACAGCAUCGGCAUUGUCAGCCCAGAAGUUUUGGAAUUCGAACAAUAAAUUCUUGUCAGAUUCCCACAAAUUGGUGUCAUCGGUUAGCCCAACAGAUUUGAACUCCUCUUGUAGCACCCAGUGAGCUAGCACUGAUUGCACGACAUUGGUUCUAUCUAAGCAGUCCAUACAGUUUGUUCUUACAACGGAUUGUUGCUUGGAAAUAAUUUGGAUAGUGUUACCAUUGGCAUCCAUAGUCUUAUGGAAAAAGUCUUUGUUUGAAAGCCCCAUAGACUCCAACUGGUUGAGUAGAAGCUUCACCUUGUGCCAUUGCAUGUUACGGCACUCAUGGUGGAAGUCAAAGUAGACAUAAUGAAGCUUUGGUUCUUCUAAAGCAUUCACGACUUGCUCAUAGGCCUCCUUCACUGGCAACUCAUGACCCUUUUGAUUCACAAGGUUGACCAAAUAGUUCUCAUUGUACAAGCGAAUUUGCUCAUCAAAGUGUUUUCUUGUAGCGUCCAAAGAGCUCUUCUCGCUCAAUAGCAAUUGCGGCUUGUAUUUCAAGUUGUUCAACUCAGCCCAAUACACAGGAACAGACCCUCUGGUUUGCAAGAAUGAAAACAAAUGAUAGCCAUCCUUCAUUGGUUUUUGAACGCAUAGCACUUGUUCAGUUUCAUUGAAGUUCCCAACGUUUCCGUCUUCAUCAAUACCUCUACGGAAGUAUCUAGUACCUGCCCUGUAAAUACUUCUUCUGGUGAUCAAACCAACGGACACUGGUGUACUGUUAAAAGUGGUGUCCACCACUUUCGCGUAACCGUAAAUCAUUGGAAUGAUGAAAUCGGAAACUCUAUCAUCCACUUCCGUAGCCUUGCGUAAUGUCUCCGUCGCAUAAUGGUUCCAGAAAAAUCUGGUGUCAGCAGUCUUCCAAGACACACCUUCAAUACUCUCGUUCCGCUGAACGCUAUUCGUCAAGUCGUACCCGUACGAAAAGUACAAAGUAGCACUAUCCAAGUGACGAUCCACAAGCUGCAAGUACUGCGAUUCAUCAGCAUCUGAACGCUGUUUUUUGUCAAUAGAUAUCAAAUUAUGCUCUGCAACCUUGUACACAUUAUGUCCGUUCAAACGACCGGCUUCUUCCACUCUAUUUGCGAUAACAAGAUACUUCCCAAUCUUCAACUGCAAGAUACCAAUCACCGCAGCAAUCUUCCGGAUAUUACCCCUCGCUGGAAAAACAUCAGCUGGCAACACAUUCACCUCGUUCUCAUGAGCAGAAAUACCCAAAACAACGUCGUUCUUUCCAAGCUUACUGCUUUGCUUUAAAAGAACCCUAUCUUUCUCUUGACAUAGUAAAACUGGACCUCUCAU
rnacentral:tRNA from 1 species